rnacentral:lncRNA from 1 species
CCGUAGGCCCCUGGUGAGGGUGUUGCCCUGCGGGUGCUGGGCCUCUCUGGGCAGGGCCCCUGCCUCUCUCUGCUGAGCGAUCAGGUGAUGCUGACGAACAGGAUGUGGGCAGCCACCCUGAGCAGACGUGCACUCUUCAGUUCACCUCCAACUCCAGCCCACAUCAGGUCAUGAGGCAGGACAGCUCAUUCUCUUGUUGGAUCUGAAAAGUGCAUCAUCUCACGGUCCCACCACCUCCCUCCAGUGUGUACCUGGGCAUUGGGGAGGGCGAGGGGGACCAGGAUGCACACCUAUGGGGCUACCGUCUUCACAGCUGCAUCAGGUCAACAGAACAGCACCAGCAAAUUUGUGGCCAAGAGGCCAAAAUGCAAAGUACCUACUGGAAUGGAAUGUGGGCAGUGUAAUAUGUUCUCACACUGACCUGAAGAAACCAUUUUUUCUUCCUUUACUACAUGGUCCUGUUUUCCCUUUAUUUUUUCCUCCCAGAUUCUGUGUUAUCACAGCUCUAUUUUCAGAGACAUCUUGGACAGUAACCCAGGAUGCUCCUGUGAAUAAGGAUACCACAUGACGGCUGAGGUCUCCUCUUCACACCAGUGCCUUGGACAAGCAAGACUGAGAUGGCUGCACAGACUCCAAGUCAGGAAGACCCACUCACUGACCAUCUAUAAUAUCUUUCAUAGAAAAAUGAAACCAAUACAAGAGGAGAGAGAACAUGAAACCCAUGUCCUUAUCACCCAUCUCUGACAAUCAUCCACUCUUGCCCAGCUGCUCCCUCCAAAAAUGGGCUUUGAAAAAACAAAUCUCAGACAUUGUAUUUCAUUUGUGGCCACUUCAGCAUUUUUCUGUAAGGACUCUUAAAUACAACAACAACAACAACAACAAAUAAGCACAGUGUCAUCAUUCCACCUCAAACUUAACAAUAGUGAAUUUCUAAUGUUCUCUUUGUUUUAGGUGUAUCUCAUAUUUUUCCCCAGAUCUUAAUUCAAACAAGGUCCAUACAUUGUCUUUGCUUCAUCUACCUCUUAGGAGUCUUAACCUAUAGGCCUACUUCUCUCUGUUCCUGUUUUUUUAUUUGUUGAAGAAAUGGAGAUUUGUCUUAUGGGCUUUCCCAGUCUGGAUUUCUUUCUUUUUUUUUUUUUUUAAAGAUUUUAUUUAUUUAUUCAUGAUAGUCACACAGAGAGAGAGAGAGAGAGGGGCAGAGAGAGAAGCAGGCUCCAUGCACCGGAAGCCCUACAUGGGAUUCGAUCCCAGGUCUCCAGGAUCGCGCCCUGGGCCAAAGGCAGGCGCCAAACCGCUGUGCCACCCAGGGAUCCCUUUUUUUUUUUUUUAAAGAUUUCAGUCUGGAUUUCACUGAUUGCAUCCCUCUGUGUUGUUUAACAUGUUCUUCUAUCCCUGUGUCUCCUAUUAACUAGUAGUUAUAUCUAGAUCACCUGCAAAUGUUUUUGGAAGAGUAAGUCACAGCUCACUGGCACUGGCUACAAAAUGUCUAUACUUAUGAAGGCUUUGAAACUAUUUCAAAAUGCUCCAGUACUAAUUAUUUCAAAUAUGAUGUUUUUAUGCAUUUCGAUAGUGCUCAAAAAAAUGGAAGCAGUAUUAUUUGGGUGACCAUCCCACUGGGCAGUGGAAUCCUACUUGAAGAUUUUUACUUUUACUCUCUGAAUCCCUGGAUAAACCCUGGCAUUCAGGGUUUGACAGAGGUCAAAGGAGUCCUCAAUAAACUAAUAUAGAGCAUUAUAGAAUUAAUACAUGUAGAACUAUAUAUAAAAUAAAUUGAAGUAUAGAACUAAUAGAGAACUACUAUAGAAACUUCUGAUAGGCCCUUUUCAGAAUUUCACAGGAAGUCAUAAAUUCCUGCUUUGCUCUGGGAGGGGCA